GUAGGUGGCAAGCGUUGUCCGGAUUUAUUGGGCGUAAAGCGAACGCAGGCGGGAGAACAAGUCAGCUGUGAAAGCCCUCGGCUUAACCGAGGAACGGCAACUGAAACUGUUUUUCUUGAGUGCAGAAGAGGAGAGUGGAACUCCAUGUGUAGCGGUGAAAUGCGUAGAUAUAUGGAGGAACACCAGAGGCGAAGGCGGCUCUCUGGUCUGUAACUGACGCUGAGGUUCGAAAGCAUGGGUAGCGAACAGGAUUAGAUACCCUGGUAGUCCAUGCCGUAAACGAUGAGUGCUAAGUGUUGGGAGGUUUCCGCCUCUCAGUGCUGCAGCUAACGCAUUAAGCACUCCGCCUGGGGAGUACGACCGCAAGGUUA
rnacentral:rRNA from 1 species